rnacentral:rRNA from 1 species
AACGAACGCUGGCGGCAUGCCUAACACAUGCAAGUCGAACGAAACGUUCAGGUCUUGUCGCGCCCGGGUGUGUAAGGCGUGGGAAGCUGCCUUUAGGUUCGAAAUACCUAAAAGACAUUUAAGCUAACGCCGAACGGGUGCUUCGGCCGGAAAAUUUAUCGCCUUUCAAUGGUCAGGCGUGGGAGUAGGUAGUUGGGGGGGUUAAGGCCUACUACGGGGAGGAUCCGCAACUGGGCUGAGAGAAUGAUCAGCCACACUGGGACUGAGACACGGCCCAGACUCCUACGGGAGGCAGCAGUGGGGAAUAUUGGACAAUGGGCGAAAGCCUGAUCCAGCAAUGCCGCGUGAGUGAUGAAGGUCUUAGGGUUGUAAAGCGCUUUUAACCGAGAUGAUAAUGACGGUACCGGGAGAAUAAGCCCCGGCUAACUCCGUG